rnacentral:rRNA from 1 species
AGAAGAAUCAUGGCGGACGGGUGAGUAACGUGUAAAGAACUUACCAUAUAGACUGGGAUAACAGAGGGAAACUUCUGAUAAUACUGGAUAAGUUAGUAGUAGCAUUACUAAGUAAUGAAAGGUAGCAAUACGCUAUAUGAGAGCUUUGCAUCCUAUUAGCUAGUUGGUGGGGUAAAAGCCUACCAAGGCGAUGAUAGGUAGCCGGCCUGAGAGGGUGGACGGCCACAAGGGGACUGAGAUACGGCCCUUACUCCUACGGGAGGCAGCAGUGGGGAAUAUUGGACAAUGGAGGCAACUCUGAUCCAGCAAUUCUGUGUGUGUGAAGAAGGUUUUAGGACUGUAAAACACUUUUAGUAGGGAAGAAAGAAAUGACGGUACCUACAGAAGAAGCGACGGCUAAAUACGUGCCAGCAGCCGCGGUAAUACGUAUGUCGCGAGCGUUAUCCGGAAUUAUUGGGCUUAGAGGGCAUCUAGGCGGUUAAACAAGUUGAAGGUGAAAACCUGUGGCUCAACCAUAGGCUUGCCUACAAAACUGUAUAACUAGAGUACUGGAAAGGUGGGUGGAACUACACGAGUAGAGGUGAAAUUCGUAGAUAUGUGUAGGAAUGCCGAUGAUGAAGAUAACUCACUGGACAGCAACUGACGCUGAAGUGC